UAGAAACAUAUGCAAUGUUUUUAUUACAUACUUCUACUGAACAUUACAGAAUUCUUUGGGUUCUUUGUAAUUUAAUGAAUAGGUCUAAAAACUUAUGACCAAUACUUGUUAUAACUUAGAGGAUUUUGUUUUACUCCAAAUAAGGAAUGAAUUUGCAUUUAAAAUCUUAAUGAAUGUUUUCAAAAAUGAAUAGAUAACAUAGUACUCUAACUAAAGUCUCCAAGUUAUGUAUUCAUAAUAUUACAUAGUAGUAUGCUUAGGCUUUACUAUGUAUUAGCCUUUUGUUGGACUUGUGUAUGUAUUUUACCAUAUGGGUUUUAAUGAUAACGGUGUAUGACUGCUUUGCAUAUGAGUCCUUAUACAUUCAGAUGUUAAAAAUAAAGCGGAAUGGUCUCUUGAAAAGAACAGAAAAGAGAAGAAAAGAAAAUGACAAAAAAAAAAAAAAACCCCACAAAGACCAAGACAAUGUUCCUUGAUUUUAAAAAAGAAAAAAAAAAAAAAAAAGAAAGAAAGAAAAGAAAAAAAAUUAAAAUAAAUAGACCAUUCCAGAUGGUGAUCUACCCUUCCCCCCAAUUAUCACAAAAGGAGCUAUAAUCACUAACUUAUUAAUAAUGAUUACUGGUACCUUUACAAAUAAUGUACAAUCCAAUGUUAAAAAUUUAUACCACUUCAGUUUGGUUUGAUCCUAUAAAUUUUCAACAGCUGUCUUAAAAUUUAAAAGCAGGCUGAUUAGUUUGGAACCAGACUUCAAGUAGAGCUAACAUUUGGUGAAUAAGAAAACAUCACAUUACAUUUUGGAUGUAUGAAAGAAAACUUGACCAUUUGAAGAUGUAUGAAUAAAGAAAUGUACUAUAGAUACUACUUUAGGAAAACACUGUUUGGUAAGUGUUCCAGUCUGAUAUUUUAAGUGUGCAUUUCCUAUACUUUGUAUAAAAAUCUUUGACAUUUGACACAAUAUUGUGAUUUUUAAGUGGAUUUCUCUGGCAAAUGAACGUGAUCAUUGAAAGUUGAUAAAACAGCAGUUUCAGGAAAUAAAUGCAUUCUUUGUAGAUUGAGGGGGUGGGAGAUUACCUAUUUAUCUUUUAAAAUUCAUCAUUUCAGUUGCAAGUGUUCCUGCCCCUCCUGAGAUUAUAGUGAUUAUAUUAAAUGUCACAUUAAAAAAAAAAAAAUCACUUUCUUCCCAUACUGGGAUCCUCACAGUCACAACUGUAAUUCCAAACACCAUAAUCUUCUGUCAGUGGGGUAAAUAAUGGAUGCUUUUCCUCUUUUUUUUUUUUUUUUCCUCCCACACUUAGGGUUAAAGUUGUAUAUAUGUUCCUGAUGAUAAUGCUAUUUCAUAGGAAUGUUUGGGCUUGCAGUUGGUACACGUGUUAAUAUUUAAAAUUUCAAAAUCAAUUUCUUUUGUCAAAAUAGUGACUUGACUCAAAAACUUCUUUACUUAGAUCUGUGAUAUAUUUUUAUGUAGUCUCUUGUAUGUUGACUAUGUGCUAUUCUGAUUCAUUAGGUAAGUUUGUUUUCUUUUCUUUUUAGUAGUCGUGAAAGGUGCCAAAUUGGCAGAGGCUCACGUUUCUUCUCUUUACACCAAACAGGUAUUAUAAAGAAAGAAAAUCUUUCAAAGGCCAGUUAAAUCUCCAUGCUGAUUUUUGGCUUUAUAAUUUGAUUAAUACAUUUUAGCCUGAUAUUUUAAAAAUUAUUGUAGAAUAAUUACUUCCUACUUAUUUAAAUCCAUAAAUAGCUUAUCAGUUUCCCUAGUCUUAAAUUCUCUAGUAACCCAAAAUUAAAAUGUUUUCUUAAGCCAUAUUGCUUUGAAUGAAUCAGAAAACAAGCGUUUCAGUUUGGUCCCAAAGUAUGGGGAUUAAACAUUACACACAUUCAUUAGGGUCACAAUUAUUCUCAUUAAUAAAAUCUUAGCUAUAAAUAUUACUUAGUAUUUAAUGAUUGGAUUUUUAAAAUUAAUGUUUAUAAAUACUAGUACUCUGUAUGUACUAUCAUGUUUCUGAUUUAAAACUUAAGAUAUCCCUUUGAAGUAGUUGCUGAUUCCCAUUUUACAGAUAAGGAAACUUAGGCUAAUAGAGUUGGAGUGACUUGCCCAAAGUCACAGCUAGUAAGUAAAAGGACUAGAUUUAAAUGCCAGCAUUCUGAUUUCAGUGCCAAUUUUUUUUUUUUUUUUUUUUACUUCUACAUUGUUACUCCUUCCUAAUUAUUGAUUGAGCAUGAGAUUGUGUUUGCAGUAAAUGUGGUAGUUCUUGCACAAAAUUAGUAGACUUCCUGGUCAUUAGUUAGUUCAUACCUUUACACUCCCUUCUAAUACAGCACUUUGUUCAUAUCUCUGUUACAGUACUUAUGUUGUAAUAUAAUUUAUCUGGUUUAUAUGUCUGUCUUCCCCACUAAAUUACAAGCUCCUCUAGGAAGGGGACCAUGUCUUAUUCAUCUUUUUAUCUCUAGUGAUUAUCACAAAGCCUGGCUCAUAGUGGGCACUCAGAUGUUUGUUGGAUGAAUUAACGAAUGAAUGCAUAUUUAAAUCUCCAAUAAUGGAGUGACAAUUACCACCCUUGUUAAUUCUUAUCAAUUUUUCAAAAGUCUCUCCUGAAGGUCUUCUCCGUUAUUGAGACUAUUUUGCUAAACAAGUGAUACAGUUAAGUAUUGCAACAGUGGGGUUACAAAUACUGUUGGAGGAAUGUACAUGUAGUCCUGGUGGAAUUUCCACAGCAAUUAAGUAACACAUUAAUAAUUUGGAGUAUUAAAUGUUGUCAGUUUCAGGAGUAAAACAGCUUUUGGUUUCUGUCAGUGUAUAAGAAUAGAAAUACCAAGAGCCACCAAUCUAGUCCAUCCCACUAAUUUUCUUUAUAUCCAAAGAUGACCUCGCAUAGAGUACCAGAUAAGAGAUUUAGCUUAUGGUCCCAGCUCUGCAACUAACUCUCUGGCCUUAAGCAAGUGUCAACCAGGAGUGUUUCCUUGUCUGUAAAAUGAAAAGGCUUGGACUAGAUGAUCUGUAAGGUCCCUUGCACAUCUACAGUUUCCUUGGUGGUAUAUUAGUAUUUGAUCUAAAACAAUUUAAUAUAUCUGUACCAGUUCUCCCUAUCUGUUGCCAUUAUUUCUGUCAUCAAUGGAAGCAACUUAGAUUUGGUUAUGAUAAUCUGUAUAACAUGUCUUGGUACAGUUUUAUAUAUAAGUCUUCCCAAAUGCUCACCGUUGGUUGGUGCAAAAUUCAUUUAACCUUUAAAGUAUAGAUAAACUUCCAAAUUCACUAGACUUUUCCUACCUAUAACUUUUCCUUUUGCUUCUAAACUCAAAGGCUAAAACACUUUUGCUAUUACAAUAUGCUACCUAAAACUUGAAACACAUUUUAAAUUCUACAGUUCUCCCAACAAGUUCUUUGUUUUAGUAUAGAUCUGGGCUGAAAUUGAAGUCAAAAAGGAUUGAGAACAAUGUAGUAGUCACUGCUUACAGGAAAAAAUUGAGAGAAAUUAUAUAUUAUUGGUUAAAAGAUUGAUUAGGAUUACUUCAAGGGAUGGUUGAGUUGUCAUUUUACAUAUUUCACUCAAUAUUUUAUGUCUACUUAAGCAGUGUUGUUUAAAUGUUACUGGAUAAUUGUAAGAUUUAAAAAAUUAAUUUUAGUAUUUAACUGAUGCCCAACCAUUUAAUGAAAUCAUGUUGCAGGAAUGGGAGAGUAUUCCAUAGCUCUUGUUUUACUGUAAUAUGAUCAAGUGUAUCAACCAGUAGUUUACUAUAAAGAUGAGACUUUAGUGUUUUAGCUGAUGACCUGUAGAAAGUAUGGCUGAGCUUAAAUGUAGGAAAUUUCCUGUGACUAGAACUGUUUAUGGGAUCUGUAUUUCCAAUCUUACUUGGAACACUAAUCAUUGACUCUAAGGGUUACUUAAGAAAGCAAAAACAGUUGCUUGUUUGAUAUGUGGAAAUAUGAAUGGUUAUUUUAGAGUGUUAUACAAACUUUAUCAAUCUAUAUAUUAUUUUUUUUCCUUCCCCUUACACAUGAUGUGAAGCAGUUGUAGAAAAUUAGUUUUAGUCCUUCUAGAAUUUGUAUAAAUAUUUGUAAGCUUUUUUCCUUCCCUUCCCUAACCUUUUAGCCUUUUAAAACAAAGGCUGCAUGAAAUUCUGGCUAAUUAAAUUAGUUCACUUUUUGGUCUUUUCUCUCAGGGCUUCACUUACUCUUCUAAAGCCCUAUAAAUAAAAAUGAAAAUUCAAUCUAGGAUUAAACCAUCAGGGAAUGAUGUGUGUAAGGCAGAGAGGAAUAUUUCCUUUUCCCAGAUCUCAGGAACUACCUUGUUCUUGUUAACUUCCUGAACUGGCUAGUUAUUCUAAGGUAUGUAUACAGGCUUUUAGAGAAGAGUAGUUUUUUUUUUUUUUUCUCUCUCUCUGAUCAUUAUACACCUAUCAGAUGACAGAUUAUCUUCCAGAUUAGCUACCUAAAAGUUCUAAGAAAGAAAUAAAUCUUGGUGAAAUGACUGCCAUUCUCAGUAAUUUCUAAUUGAAAACGUCAUACUUGGUUAGUAGAAAAAUUCUUAAUUUGGUAAAUAACUUUCUUGCAGUUUAUCAGUAAUAUGUACUCAUUAGUGUAACUGAAAGCAUUUUUUUGCGUUUUUUUGUGUCAAUUUAAGAUUACUUGUUUCUUUCUAAUUACUCCUCCCUAUUAACUUUAUUUCAUCCAUCCACUUAUCUUCCCAUCAUCCAAAGUUAGUCUUCUUUUGUAUACCAAGCACUGUCUCAUUCUGAUGUGUUCUUUUUAAUUUUGGUUGUUAAUCAUUGUGUUUAGUAUAGAAUUUUAUGUCCUAUAUUAAUUAAAGAAUGAAGUCAUUAUCAUAUGGAGCUUAAGGAAAGUAGAUCCAACUCACAAUUACUUUGAAAUCUUUGGGAAAUUUAAGAAGAUUGUUCUUGCUUUAAUUUUUAUAUACAGUGUCUUGGAAUUUGUUCAUAAUUUCUUCAAACUACUUUGCCUACCCAUACUUCUAUAACAGUUUACUAUUUUGUCAGUCACUGCAUUUCCUAAGCAGAAAUUGUAGACUACAGCCAUGCUGUAGUGCUGAGAUCUUUGUGGCUUAAUGUUUUAAGGAAGCAUGAUGCAGAGAGGUUUUGUUAAAAUCAUUAACCCAAAGCUGAUUCUUUGUGGAAUUUGUUUCAACUUUGAUUUUGAUUCCUUUCUGAAAUAGAUUUUUUUUUUUUAAUGUUUAGAAAAGUUGGCGAUCAAUUUAUGGUGUGAUUCAGUUUUUAGAUUUACUUACUAUUUUCAAAGUUUUUUUAAUAGUCUUCUCUUUUUCCAGCAGAGAGAGAUCAUCAUUGCCUGAAUUUAGCUUUGUGACUACAACAGCAAGACCUGUUCCUGUCUGGAGACGACUGUUAAAAUAUCAUCCUAUCAUUUUAUGUUUGCUCUUUAUCAAUUUGAAUAGAUGUUUACAUGUACUAUAAUUGGCAUUUUGUCUCUUCACAGUUCUCUAAUUGGUACAUCCGAGUCCAGAAGUAUGUCUGAGUGUGUGCUUUGUCUGACCUUAUUCUUAAACGUCUUCUCCCCUUACUUUAUAUCCAUUUAUUUUUUAAACACUAAGAAGGAAAAAGACCUUUUGGUUUCCUAAUAUAAGUUCAGUCUCAGCCACGUUGAAAAUUGUGUCUAAGAAAUCUAUAAAGCCAUGAUAUUGUGUUCAUUAGCAUGAACAAUUUAGAAUGAAGAAAAUGAUUAAAAAGUUAUGCAUGGGUUUGGUUUUAAUUUUUCUGGGUUUUAGGAUACAUUUCUGGGGUUAAGGUAGUCACUUAAAUGAUUUUGAACAGAUGCUAAAAUACUUUUUUAUACACUAUAAUAACUUGCUAUUUCUUCUAAAUACACUUACUGAGGUUGUUGCCAAGGCCACUUACCCAAAUAAUAUUUUUAAAAAAUUUCUUAGCUCUUCAAAACCAACAAGGAGAAUAAUUUUCUUUCUUUUCAAGUAAUACAGGAUGAUCUGUGGAUUAUAAAUAUUGAGAAAUUUCUAUUAAAUGUCUGGUUUACACAGUUUGUCCAUAUUUUCCUCACUUGCAAUCAAGACAUCAAAGACAAUCUUAAAAGCAAGGGGAAAUUGUGUUGUGUGUCUUACAUUGUUAAAGAUUAUAGUUUUCCUGUCUUAAAAGGUGUAUGUCCAUAUUUAUUUAUAAGCAAUGUGGCUUAAAAUUAUUUAUAAAGAGUAUGAUUAAAUCUUAUCCUAAAUAUUCACCCAAAAUACCAUUUUUUGUAAUGGGCACCAUAUAAAGAAGUUUUCAGAAAAUUAAUUUCUGAGUAUUUCUUCAUAGAUUCUCAUGAGGCAUUUGAGAAGUUUGGAAGUUGUUAUUAGUAGCAGCUCUUUAUUAGAAAAGUGGAAAUUACACUUGAUUCUAUUUGCCCUGGUUUUUUUUUUUAGUUUCAUUCAGCUGUGCUCAUAUUUUCAUAUUUUUUGUGCCAAGUUGACUAUUCUGCAAACACUUCUUUUUGAGUAUUCAAUGCAUUUGUCUUCGUGAAAAAUAAAAAGAAUGAACACAUCAAUCAUAAUGUAAAUUAUC
rnacentral:lncRNA from 1 species